rnacentral:rRNA from 1 species
CCUACGGGGGGCUGCAGUGGGGAAUAUUGGACAAUGGGCGAAAGCCUGAUCCAGCCAUGCCGCGUGUGUGAAGAAGGCCUUCGGGUUGUAAAGCACUUUCAGUGGGGAAGAAAGCCUUGGGGCUAAUACCCUCGAGGAAGGACAUCACCCACAGAAGAAGCACCGGCUAACUCCGUGCCAGCAGCCGCGGUAAUACGGAGGGUGCGAGCGUUAAUCGGAAUUACUGGGCGUAAAGCGCGCGUAGGCGGUCUGAUAAGCCGGUUGUGAAAGCCCCGGGCACAACCUGGGAACGGCAUCCGGAACGGUCAGGCUAGAGUGCAGGAGAGGAAGGUAGAAUUCCCGGUGUAGCGGUGAAAUGCGUAGAGAUCGGGAGGAAUACCAGUGGCGAAGGCGGCCUUCUGGACUGACACUGACGCUGAGGUGCGAAAGCGUGGGUAGCAAACAGGAUUAGAUACCCCGGUAGUC